rnacentral:piRNA from 1 species
UGAGUUCAAAUCCCAGCAACCACAUGAUG